rnacentral:rRNA from 1 species
UACGUAGGGUGCAAGCGUUAAUCGGAAUUACUGGGCGUAAAGCGUGCGCAGGCGGUUUUGUAAGUCUGGCGUGAAAUCCCCGGGCUCAACCUGGGAAUUGCGUUGGAGACUGCAAGGCUGGAGUCUGGCAGAGGUGGGUAGAAUUCCACGUGUAGCAGUGAAAUGCGUAGAGAUGUGGAGGAACGCCGAUGGCGAAGGCAGCUCCCUGGGACAAGACUGACGCUCAUGCACGAAAGCGUGGGGAGCAAACAGG